CAACUCUCACGCCCCUAAAUAUUCAUAAGACCAGCUGUUCUAGCUUGGAUAUGCAAAUGAGGGCUUGGAGAAAAAAAAAACACCCUCCCCACGCCUGGAGAUUGACGGGGUGGAAACCUGUUCAUACUCUAAUUAGCCCGAGAGCUAUUGCGAUUAUAAAUGCUCGAUCAUUUAAAUUGGAACCGGCCAACAGGUGCACCUCUGGCUAACGGUUUGGCUGCAGAUAUUCACACCUCCAGCAAAUAGUCGAGGUUCCAGCUAAAACCAACGAAGCCUGGCUUGGAGACCAACUGCGCUUUAAAUUGGUUAUAUAUUUGUAUGCGAAUAUAAUUAGUUAUUAGUUUGGCUAAUUGCUUGCAGAAAUGUUAACACUCGGUUGGCUUUCGAUCCAAUUGCAACUACAUCGAACAAUAACAAUAAAAUUCCACGCUACGUUAACUUUAAAUAUGUAAUAUUCUUGAUCCCAAUGUCGAAUUCACUUGAACAUUUUUGUAAUUACUUUAUAAUGGUAUAUAUUGUGGUCCAAGGGUUUUUGAUUAUUAAGUACACAUCAAUACGAUUUCUUAAAUAUUUUGUAUAUAGCUCCACUUUGUUAAUUUUUCUUAUUUCACUCUCUUAUUCAUUUCUUUAAAUUCACAAUCUCCUUCCCUAAAGAUGUCUUUUUAAUACAAGAUUUAAAAUAAAAAUUCCCUUUUCAUGUCGUAAAUUGUUCCCUAAACAGAAUCAGACUUUAGAGUUGCUAAUUGCCAAAGAAGAUAAUCAAAUGAAGAAACCAAAGAGUAAUUAUUUUUCAAUUGCAUUUUUAAUUUUAUUAAUACACAAAACUUAAAUAAAAUAAUAAUGUUUAAACUCUACAUACCUACAAUACAAUACGUAAUAGUCAUAAGCAUAAUAAUAGAUAAUAAUAAUAAUAGUACACAAUAGUAAUAUUGUCGUUUACAGUUAUUGUACAAUGUAAGAAAAUUCUGUUUUGUUUUCCAUUUCAUUUUGAUCUUUUCCGUUUUUUUUUUACGUUUCCUUGAUUGUUGUAUUUUGGUUCGCCAUAUUUUGUUUAGAAAUACUAUCUCCGAAUGAAGUUUUAAUACCGGGAAUACUAUAUCGCGUGUCUAUAUAGUCUAGGUAAAUAUUGUGAGAGACAAAAAGAAGAUAAUAAUAAUACAAAAACAUUUUGUGUCUGAGUAUACAAUCGGUUUUGUGUGGUACUUUGCCUACUAAGUGCGGAUGUAUAUGAACUUUGCUUUCCCAGCACUCUUCACUUCACUUAAUUCGCUUUGCUUGGCUUUGUUUUCACAUCACUUAAACGUCUAACGAUUUUUUGGUCCAAUAAUAGUUGCGGUGAUAAAUAUGCGGGUCUGGUGUGUAAAUCGGGGGUGAUCAACAAAUAAAUAUGCUUGUUUUUUACCAUGUACGCGAUUCGACAAAAUAAGAACUUUAGAUGACAAUAAAAUAAAAUUAAACAAAAAACAAUAAACAAAAAAUAAAAAUAA